CUCAAUCAUACAUUUCUCCAUGAUUUGUCAAAGUGAUUAUGUAUGGUGAUACAUGUAUUAAACUGUAUACAGAAAUGAAUUCACUUCAGCUCGGUAAAUAUGACUAAUAAAGAA